ACCGGAAAAGACUCGGGGAGUCACUUCCGGACUACAACUCCCAUGAGCUUUUGCGUCGAGCUCUCGGGGCCGCUGAUUGGUGGAGACGCGCGGCCGCUGGCCCCGCCCCUUCCGCCGGCCCGCCUCGCGCCCGUUGCCGUGGAGACGCCGGCCCCUGGGCCCCCCCCGCGCCCGUGGCCGCCACCAGCUUUGUGGGACCCGAACCCCGCGACCUCCUGCCUACUGUUCGCCCUGAGGACAGUGACAGCCUGGCCUGGGCCCAGGU